UACGUAGGGUGCGAGCGUUGCCCGGAUUUAUUGGGCGUAAAGGGCGCGUAGGCGGUCACGCACGUCCGUUGUGAAAUCGCUCGGCUCAACUGGGCGGGGUCAGCGGAUACGGCGUGGCUGGAGCAAGCUAGGGGGCAAUGGAAUUCCCGGUGUAGUGGUGGAAUGCGUAGAUAUCGGGAAGGAACACCAGUGGCGAAGGCGGUUGCCUGGAGCUUUGCUGACGCUGAUGCGCGAAGGCGUGGGGAGCGAACGGG
rnacentral:rRNA from 1 species